GCCGAAGUGGUGGAAUUGGUAGACGCACCGGACUCAAAAUCCGGCGAAGGCAACUUCAUGGGGGUUCGAUUCCCCCCUUCGGCACCA
rnacentral:tRNA from 1 species